GUAAGAGCCGCUCUGAUACGAUUGACCCUCUCCGAACAAGCUUCCGUGACCUCACAACGGGAUAGGAUCGCGAUUGGCCGAUUGAAUGAGUGGCGGCCGUCUGGAUGUCCGGGGCACCGGAAAAGUCGAACAAUUACUAUAACAGUUAGUAUGGUUGUGUGUGUGCGUAUGUGUUUAGUGUGUAGCGAAAACAUGUCUCUCCAAAACUUCAUCUUGCCAGACUAAGACCUCAUAUCACCGGACACACACAGUGCCCGUCCUCAUCUCCACAUCCUUAUUUAUGGCAGAUAUUUAACGCACUGCGCAGCGUGGUAGCAAUGAGCUCCAUGGUUCCCCCCGUUCUGUCUUUGGAUAACGCUGC
ensembl:lncRNA